AACCUCCGCAAUGUGAGAAAUCGCGACGGGGGGAUCCCAAGUGCCAUUCUUAACGGGAUGGCUUUUCAUUAGUGUAAAGAGCUUUUGGAAUAAGAGCUGGGCAAGACCGGUGCCAGCCGCCGCGGUAACACCGGCAGCUCUAGUGGUAACAAUUUUUAUUGGGCCUAAAGCGUCCGUAGCCGGUUUAAUAAGUCUCUGGUGAAAUCCUGUAGCUUAACUGUGGGAAUUGCUGGAGAUACUAUUAGACUUGAGACCGGGAGAGGUUAGAGGUACUCCCAGGGUAGAGGUGAAAUUCUGUAAUCCUGGGAGGACCGCCUGUUGCGAAGGCGUCUAACUGGAACGGUUCUGACGGUGAGGGACGAAAGUUAGGGGCGCGAGCCGGAUUAGAUACCCGGGUAGUCCUAACUGUAAACGAUGCGGACUUGGUGUUGGGGUGGCUUUGAGCUGCUCCAGUGCCGAAGGGAAGCUGUUAAGUCCGCCGCCUGGGAAGUACGGUCGCAAGACUGAAACUUAAAGGAAUU
rnacentral:rRNA from 1 species